rfam:Picea glauca, whole genome shotgun sequence.
UGGCAUUUGGUCUAGUGGUAUGAUUCUCUCUCAUGGUGCCAGAGGUCCCGAGUUCAAUUCUCGGAAUGCCCC